rnacentral:rRNA from 1 species
GACGAACGCUGGCGGCGUGCUUAACACAUGCAAGUCGAACGAAGUGGCGAACGGGUGAGUAACGCGUAAUCAACCUGCCCUUCAGAGGGGGACAACAGUUGGAAACGACUGCUAAUACCGCAUACUGAAGGAGGGGAUUGCGUAGGAUGAGCUAGUUGGGGGGGGAACGGCCCACCAGGGCGAUGAUCAGUAGCCGGUCUGAUGGGCUGAACGGCCACAUUGGGACUGAGACCCGGCCCAGACUCCUACGGGAGGCAGCAGUGGGGAAUCUUCCGCAAUGGACGCAAGUCUGACGGAGCAACGCCGCGUGAGUGAAGAAGGUUUUCGGAUCGUAAAGCUCUGUUGUUAAGGAAGCGGUACUUAACCAGAAAGGGACGGCUAACUACGUGCCAGCAGCCGCGGUAAUAC